rnacentral:rRNA from 1 species
CUUGAACGCUGGCGGCCGGCCUAACACAUGCAAGUCGAACGUGUGGCGGACGGGUGAGUAAUGUCUGGGAAACUGCCUGCUGGCGGGGGAUAACUACUGGAAACGGUCGCUAAUACCGCAUACCCUCAGCUGUGCCCCGAUGGGAUUAGCUUGGUGGUGGGGUAACGGCUCACCAAGGCGACGACCCCUAGCUGGUCGAAGAGGAUGACCAGCCACACUGAAACUGAGACACGGUCCAGAGUCCUACGAGAGGCAGCAGUGUGGAAUAUUGCACUAUGGGCGCGAGUCUGAUGCAGACAAGACACGUGUAUGUAGAAGGCCUUCGGGUUGUAAAGUACUUUCAGCGGGGGGGCGUUAUCCGCAGAGAAAGCACCGGCUAACUCGCUGCCAGCAGCCGCGGUAAUUC